GGGAGGGGGCUCCGGCACCGCGCGCUCGGAUGCUGGGCUGGGACAGAGCACCCGGACCCGCGGCAGCGGCGGCAGUGGCGCUACCCACCCUCUGCCACAACAUCCAUCAAGCCAGCGAGCCACCAAACCACGGGCCCUCGGGACGCCGAAAGGAGCCUGUUGGUGUGCUUCGGCCCGCACUGUGACUGGAUCUUGUCUUCUGUCUGGCGCCUCGAUUUCUGUCCGGCUGGAUUUGAGGGGCAACACUGCCUGGCACAGGGAGAUCAAAUGAGACUGCAAAGAAGCAUAAAAUGAAUAGACUAUCUAACCAACCAAAGCCACUAUCAAUCCUCAUGGGACAAAAUUGUGGCUUCCUGACUGCUUCAACAUAGCAAAGGAAAUAAUGUUCAGUUAGGUAGUGAGAGUUCUCAGCACAACAGUGGCAAACUGGAGUGUUCUUCACCAAAGUGUCACACAGAAGACAGGUUUGGCCCCCCAAAUCCCAAAAUGAGGAGAAUGCUUGUCCUGGAGAUUCUAGCACCAGGAAAAGUUUCACGUAGUUUGAUGAGAAGAUAGAAUCAGUCAAUGUUAACAAUAGCUAAACUGUAGAACCAACCUAGAUACCCUUCAGUAGAUGAAUGGAUAAAAAAAUGUGGCAUAUAUACACAAUGGAAAAUGAAAGCUUUGGGAGAACUGCAGCUAUGUGAGGUGGGUGAUGGGGAUCUUGGAUUUUAGAACAGAGAGAUCCACUUCUCAUAAUCACCAUGUUUGAAUUUUUAAAAUGUAAAACCUAGUGGUACUCACUGUAUUGCCAUCCAACUCCCUUGUAUUUGAUUCCCCAUUAACUAUUUUAUCAACUCCCAGGUCCUUCUUGAAUAAAUAUAUCUGUUGCACUAUUGAAAUUUAUUCAUCUCUAGGUGUAUCAGAAGAUUAAAAAUUUUGAGCAUGAAAGUAUAUACUGUAUGUUUCAAUGAGUGGACAAAAGUAAGUGUGCAGUUUGCAAUCCUUUAGAUGCAGUUUGCAAUCCUUUAGAUACAGUUUGAUGGACCCAGUAGACAACAUUAGUCCUUUUUAUCUGUGGCAUGUUUCCCAAGUGGAGCUUCUCUGGCCGAUUACCUCCUGAUGUAUGCUACUUCCUUAUACCUCUGCACUAUUUCGUCUUCUCAUUGGCAUUUACAGCUCCCAGGUUUGUAUCACUUAUGGAUUUUAUUCAUGUGUCAUUUACCAUUUUUUUUCCAAAUAAUUAAGCCCAAAAUUACAUUAGAGUUUGCUCAAGCUGCUUGCCACUUGGAUAAAUUACACAUCAUGGCUUCUCCAGUCAAUCACUAUCUAUUACUUGCGACAUUCUACAAGUCCCUUAACUUUAGUCAUUGUCUUCUCCAGCAGCCCUCAGAAGGACCAGUCUUACUAGAGAAUUGCAAUGAGAAAAACAAAAGUAGAUCUUUUCUGUUUUUUUUUUAAACAUUUUAAUUUGAAUGUUCUACUAUUUUUUUUGGGGGGGGGAAACAAUGUUGUUAACUCUUAUUAUAUAAUGAUUGGUCAGCUCUACCAUUUUGAAACCAGUAAGAUGGAAAAUAUUUUCUCUAAUUUGAGUUUUAAGAUACAAAUCAUGCAUCACUUAACAACACAGUCUGAGAAAUGUGUUGUUAGAUGAUUUCAUCACUGUGUAAACACCAUAGCAUGAAAACACAAGCUUAGAUGGUAUAGGUGAAUUACUUGAGUAGACAAAAUCAAGAGGCACAGUAAACAUGCCUUAAAUUUUAUUAUAUGUUUGCAUAUUUGUCAAAUUUUAUAUUAAAUAAUAAAUGUGAAAUUAAUAUUAAUUACAAAAUAAUAUUUUGUAACAAAAUUUCUAGAGAAAUAUAUCCAAUGAUAUUUAUAAUAAUAAUAUUAUUAUAUUUCAGACUGAUGAUAUAAAAGUCAUAUAAAAGUAUAUCUUCUACAAUUUUGUAUAACAUACAACAAUAUUUCAGACUGACACUUCAUUCAAGUUGGCAAUACAUUUUUGUCAUUUCAAAACAAUACAGAUAAUUGAUAAAUUUUAUCCCAUUUUACUUAAUACAUCUUUAACCAUUUCUUUCUAACCCCAAAUAUUCAAUGUGCUCAAUAUUAAGGAAAGAUGUGCAAAAUGAGCUGUGGCUUAAAUACCCAGUUGAUGGUGACACUAUCAACUCCAGAGUAGCCAAAUUUAGAAACUAUCAUUUCAUAAAUGCAUUUUUGAAUUUUUGGUACCGGGGAUUGAAACCAAGGGCACUUAACUACUGAAUCACAUUCUCAGUCCUUUUUUAUUUUUAUUUUGGGACAGGGUCUCGAUUAGUUGCUUAGAGUCUUGCUAGUUUUCUGAGGCUGGCUUUGAACUUGCAAUCCACCUCAGCCAUGAUUCACUGGGAUGAUAGGCUGUGUGUGCUACCACACCCAGCCCAGUUCUCACGCUUGAACGCUUCAGUCAUGUUUUCUUAACUUACUGCACCAGGUAGCUUCCACUCCUCAGCCCCAGCUUUUCCCUACCAUAUGACCUUGUCUUUUAAAAAAUUUUCUGUUUCUCUUACUAGAAAAUAAGCUCCCUGAAGUAGGAAAAGUGUCUUUAUUCAUUAUUUUAUUCCUAGUGGUUAACUAAUGACUGACACUCAGUAGGAAUUCAGUAAAUAUUUUUGAAAAAAAAAUGAGUGAUUAAAUGAACGAAAAGGAUGAAGAAAUUCCAUUAAUAAUUCCACUGUAGUGACUUAAUGCCCCAUUUUUUGAUAUUUAGAUUACUUAACUCUCAUAAAUAUCACUUGUAUAUAUUUCUCUGGAAAUUUUGUGUAUAUUUAUUUUCUUAAAUUCCUAGAAGAAAACUUGUUUGGCCUAAGGAUAAGUGAAAUUUUAAGAUUUUAAUAUAUAUCAUAAGUAAGUCUGGCAAUUCACACUCUCAUCAAUAUUUCAGACUGACACUUCAUUCAAGUUGGCAAUACAUUUUUGUUGUUUCAAAACAACGUAGUUAACUGAUAAAUUUUAUCCCAUUUUAAAUGAAAUAUUUUUGAUUUUUAAAUAUAUGUAUUGCUACAUAUGCAUACAAUUAUUUUAAUUUCUCCUUUUCCUUUGGUGAAUUGUCUGUUCAUAUACUUUGCCAAUUUAGUUUUGAAAACUGAUUUAUGAGUAUUUUAUAUGCUAAAGGUCUAUUUAAUUUCCUGUUAUUCAUUUUGCAAAUAUUUCCUCCUCAUCACAGUUUCUCUGUCAUCUUUGUGUAUGGUAUUAAAAAUUUAUACUAUGUUAACUUUAAAAUAUAUACAAAAGUAGAGAUAAAAUGUAUUAAUUCCAUUUAUUCAUCAUCCAGCUUCAACAAUUAUCAACUCUUGUCUAAUCUUGUUUUAUUUCUCUCCACUCGAUCUUUCUUUUUUUUCUUCCCAACUUCUGAUUAAGUUGAAGAAAAUCCCAUGCAUUGUAGCAUUUAAUCUGUAAAUACUUAAAUACAUAUAUCUAAAUGACAAAGAGCUUCUUUCUCAACAUAGACUCAAAACUCAAGUUAUAGAUAAUGGUAUUAAAGAGAAAAAUUUAACUUUUAAAAACUAUAAUCUUUUCACUUGUGGUUUCUGCUUUUGUUGUUAUCCUUAGAAAAAUUUUCCUUAUUUUAUGACUAUGAAAAUUCAUUUAUUUUGUUCUAAUUACCCUAUUAAUAUAUAGCUUUUGUAUGAAGUUUUGAAAAUACAGAAAAAUAAAAAGAUUUGAACCUCAUAUAUAUCAUUACUACAUUGAAUAGAAAUAUGAACUAUAUUCUGGAAAUAUUUUACAAUUUAUAUUUUCAAAAAUAGAAUGACACCAUACUUUGUAACAUGAUUCUUAUUGUAAACAUCGUUCUACGUCAAAACAUAUGGAUGGAUGACAUUAUUAUUUCCUAAAGCACAUAGUAUUCUAUUGUAAAAUUAUACUAUAGUUUACUUUGCUCAAUGUCUUGAUGUUAUUUGGGUAAGAGGCAAUUUUUUUAUACCUUUAUUUAUUUAUUUUUAUGCGGUGCUUACGUUCAAGCCCAGGGCCUCGCACCUGCUAGGUGAGCGCUUUACCACUGAGUCACAAUACCAGCAAGAGGAAUUUUUGACAAUGUAAAUAACUGAUUAAAUGCAUACUGAAUCCCUUUAAUAUUCUAAACAUGAUAAUUGGUGAUAUUAAAGAUACAAAGAUAAGGAAAACAAACACAUUAGCUUCCUAUGUGUAGCACACUGUAGUCAUGAACAUUUUUGCUCAAAUAUUUUUGCACCACUUUCAACUGCUUCCUUUGAAGAAAUUCCUAAAAAUGAAAAAUACUUUUAAGAGAAUGAGUUUUAUAAAUACUGUCCAAUUCUCCUGAAGAAUUAUCAUGACAUUUACAUUUCUAAACAUACUAUGUUAACAUUAAUACUAGGCAUCACUGCUCUUUUCAAUCUUCAGUAAUGUGAGAGAUGAAACAUGGUUUGUCACUGUUGUUUACAUAGCAUUUCAUUUAUUACUAGGAUGUUUACUACUUGCUCAGAUUUUAUUGAACAUUUGUAUUAUUUCUUUUGUGAAUUGUCUGUUCAUGCUCUUUGCACAUUUUUUUUCUCUCAUUCAGAUGUUUGCCUUGUUAUCUUUUACAAUUUUGCUUUUAAAAUUUAAACAAUACUUCACAACAAUCAUUAUAAGGGGAGGUCAUUAUUGUAAGCCAUUACAUUUGAUGUCUAUUUACAAUAAUAGUAACAACCCAAUUGGGAGACUUUUCUAUAUUGCCCAACACUGUAGGUAAAUAUUCUUAUACUGGAAGAUUCAAUUUAAGGUACAAAUUCAUGAACAGGUCAAAUGCUUCUUUAUAAAUAAAUGUAAAACAAUUACGUUUUUGUGUUAAAAGGGCCUUCAGUGGUUGUGAAAUUACUAAUAGAUUAUAGCAUCUUCUGGUUCAAACGUGGUAGUUUUGGCAGUGACAAAAAGUCAUUGCAACUUCCAGUUGUUGGAUCGUGCAAAAUGGAAUGGAGAACUUAGAAUAAUUUUAAUGUUAGUGUAAGAAAAGUCAUCAAUGCUGGGACAGGGAUGUAGCUCAAUGGUACAGUGCUUUCCUAGCAUGCAUGAGGCCCUGGGUUUGAUCCUUAACAUGCAUGCAUACACACACACACACACACACACACACACAAAUCACCACCACCGACAACAAAACAUCAGUGCAUGCAGUUAGCACCCUUGUGGGCAAUCUCAAAGGAAUAGCCAUGGACUGAAGUAUUGUGAAGUAGAAAAUACAUUCUUAACUUUAAGACAAAUUGGCAUGAAAACAGUUUCCUAGACGAGACUAAGAAAUUAUACCAUAGGGAUGAAUGAAUGAUUGGAAAUUGAUUUCAAUUUCUAAUACCAUUUUAAACCUCCUAUCUUUUAUGGGUAUUAAAUUAUCUUUAAAUUAAAACAAAUAAAUAGUAUAACUGUCAGACUAGGUGUCAGGAUAAACAUAGUUUCUCUACAACUAGUAAUUAGAAACUCUAACCUGAUUUACUUAAGUGGCUUUGACAAACAGGGGAAUAUAAAUCCGAUUUUUGUUUCCAAAGAGAAAAAUAACUUUUAAUCAAAAUUUUGAAAAAAAAAUGACAAUUUUUACAUUUUUUUCUAUGAGUAGUGUAUUACAUUGAUUUUCUUUAAUCACAACAGUUUUAAAAACAGGCUGAGAAAUAUCGCUUGUGUUUAUGCCACAUUUUUUGUUUUGUUUUUAUUUUUGCUUUAAUUCUCAUAUUCAAGACAGUCUGAGGUUGGGGAUGUAGCUCAGUGGUGUAGUGCUUGCCUAACCUGUGCAAGGUCCUUGGUUAGGUUCCCAGCAACACACAUGUGAUGUCUGUGUAUGCACACACACACACACACACACACACACACGCACAAAGUGGUUGGAAUGUAAGUCACUAUCACUCUUGUUUUCCAACAUGUAAAGUCAGUAACACAUUUCUAACCAAAUUAAGUGCCAGCUUGAAUGAGUAGUGUCUUGAGAAUAUGCUGAUAUUCUGCUUGUCCCCUACCCAGAAUUCUGUGGUAAAAGAUCUUUAGUCUGUGGGAAACUACUAACAGAAAAACUGAAACUAUAAAGGGUGGCAGAAAUAAUUUUAUACAUAGGGUAAAGGUUAUUAAGUUUAUUAUUUGAGUAUUUCCAUUGAAUAGAAUAGUUUUAAUUCUCCCUGUGAGUUCAUUAAAAAAAAAUUAAUAAACCAAGCCUAUGGUACGGAGUCAGGAUCCUUUCUGUAGGCUGUGGUGGGAUAGGAAACCUGACUUAAGCUUGAGUUCCAUAACUCAAAUGCCAGAGGUACCCUGGCUGCAGGUAUGAUGAUAUCGGGAUCAAAUUGAUUUCAAUAGGAUCUCCUUUCUCUUUCCCAGGAUUUAAUCUCUACAUUAUCCUCUUUAGCUCUAGUCACAGGCACUCUCUACCUCAUUUCCUUUCAAAAUUCUCAGCCUUUACCCCACCCGGACUGGCUGAAUUCAGGAAAUACUUGACUUAACCUUAGCCAAGUCUCCAUCCACAGAGCAGGAGGGAGGAAGUCCCUGCCCUGCCAAAGGAAGCAGAGUAGGGAAGGGGAGAAUAUCUAAGUGGAUGAAGGAGAAAAGGGAAAUCAGGGUUGUAAAAGAAAACCUCCAAGUUCUGGAUUCCUGGGAGUGCAGCAAUUUUCACCACUGGGCUUUUUCUUUCCUUUUUGGUUGCUUCUUAGUCAAAAAAUCCUUAAGAAUAAGUACAGAGAAUUCUUGUCGUCACAAACUCUGAAGGAGUGAGAGAUAGAUAGCAGCAUUGAGAGAGGAGCCCAAGAGACAUGGACAUCUAGAUAAAUAUUAUAUGCUAGGGAUGUUGUCCAGAUCACCUUAAUAUCUAUCAACCUUUUAAAAAAAAUUUAUGCACAAUAACUUUAGUGAACUAUUUCCCUCUUGCUAAAGAACACUGAAACUAACGUGAUUGUAGAUACAUAUUAUUUUGUGGAGCCACCGUUAAUCAAUAAGCUAUCUUUGAAAAGUUGCACAUAUUUUGUUGUAGUUGCCCAUAUAUUCAAGGAGUACAUGAUUUAUAAAUGAGAAUGAUUAUUUCAUUUCCUGAAAAUUUCCCAAUUGUAGGCAUAAAAUUAUUUUUUGAGACCAUUAUACAAUUUACACAAAAACAUAUACAAAAAACUGACUAUAUCUUCUUUAUAACACCAGUAGGAAGUCCUCAAGAUUUAUAUCGGUUUUCUUGCAAAACAUAGAAUGACAUUCUGAACAAAUAGGUGACAUUUGAUCUAGAAAUACUGGGGUAUAGAUGUUUUCUGCAGGGUAAACUAGAAUGGCCAACUAUUUCAGUAAACUUCUACUUAUUGUUACCAAUUAAGAUAUUUCAGUCUUGCACAAUUUUCAGGAUAAGAGCUGCAAAACUUUCAAUUACACCACAUAAAGAAUAUUUGCAUAUAUAUGAAUACACCCCAGUGAAUCUGAACAUUGUGUACAUCCACAAGACUGGGAUCCUAAUUAGAAUAAGAUAUAUUCCAUACUUGAAUAAAUAUAUCAAAAUAGAUUCUACUGUUAUAUAUAACAAAAAGAAAAAAUAAGAUUUUUUUUUCAAAAAGAAUGUUUACCAUGAGUAAGAGAUGUCAAAUAGACAUACAAGAGUCCAGUAGAAAAUUAGGGGACUUUUUCUAAGAUUAUUUCUGUUCUUAGUGAGAAUCGGGGGAAAAAAGAGCAAGCAGGUAAAGGAGAGCUCUUCUUUGAAAAUGAAUCCUUUGAAAAAGAGGUUGCAAUUGUAGUAUUUUUUUCCCUGAGCCACAAAGAGCUCAUGGGAGUGAAAUAGGUGUAUAUGUAUUCUUGAUGCAUAAGUUUAUAAUAGAGAAAGAUGGAAAGACUUAGAUUUUUCCCCCAUUAGUAUCUGAUUAUAAAUGAUUAUUUCAGAUAAUUAUAGAUGCUUGUUUGACUAUUCAUUGUACCAAGCUAUAACAAACAUUAAAUCAUUCUCUGAGUAGAUUUUUCCCACCCAGUAGAAAAUGUGUUAUAUGCUUUCAAGAGAAACUUGUUGGUUCCUUGUAGAGACCAAGAUAGAUUUUGCAAUGUAUCUAUAGGUUGUAAAAAUACAAGUAUUACUUUAGCAGUUACUUUUUUCUUAUUUUUAACAACAUCAUUGUAAAUAUAGUGAACAAACAAUGUUCUAAUUCAUUUUUUAUUUUUUUCUAGGAUUGUGUGUUAUAUAUUUUUUGGGUUGUCAUUAAUUUUUAUAAUGAACUCCUACCAAUGAAUUACUAAAUCUGAAGACUCCAAGAUGGAAUUUGUUGUGGUGGUUUUCCUCAAAUUAUUAUGCCACUUGUCUAUCUUAUGCCUAUCCUGUCACCAUAUUUUUGAAGCACAAAACUUGUUUGGUUUUACAACUUAAUGUCUAGAGGAGACAUUUCCCUCGGGGUAUAUUUUACUUCUAGUCUCAACCACAUCUGAUUUAGAUUAUAUUUAAAUGAGACUUUGGGUUUGGUCUUUAGAAUUGAUGUUGAAAUGAAUGAAGACCUUUGGAAAAAAAAUGUAUUUUGCAUGUGAGAUGGACACGAAUUUGGGGGGGGGCGGGCAAGGAGGAAUAUUAUGGACUGAAUAUUUGUGUACCACCAAAAUUCAUAUGUUAAAAGCCUAACCCUCAAUGUGAUGAUAUUUGGAGGUAAGACCUUUGUGGGGUAAUUAGGUCAUGAAAAUAGAAUCUUCGUGAGUGGGGUCACUGUUCUUAUAACAGGCAUGAAAGCUGACCCUCUCUUUCUACUCCUUGCCAUGUGAGGGUACAACAAGAAGAAGAUCAUCUGCAAACCUAACUGGGAUUUGACCAGAUGCCAGUCUGCAGUUAUUACUCAGUCCUGAUUAUGUCAAGAGAAAGACUGAGGGCUAGAUCAAAUAAGGAAAGAAUAUUACCAAGAGGAAGUUGAACAGCCACCAUUACAUGGUACUUGGAGUUUGUAUCUGUUAGCGGAAAUGGGCUGGGUUCUCUAGGAUGAAGAUUCCACCUAAACUCAACAUCUAUGGAAGGGUGAUGAAGGAAGCAGGAUUAAUAGAACAGAGAGUCAAGCUGUGAUGCAGGCCCAGUACCUUCAGCCAACUUACAAGGACCUUGGAUCUAACACGGCUUCUGAGUAGUCCCACAUGAGUCCGGAUGCCUUCCCCCAGAUCAUGGAGAAAACCUGAUGCCUAAUCAUUUGGUUCAGUAUCUGCCUACCCCACUCAACCAACACCUCACGAAGAAGCUAGGCACCAGUCACAUAGCAAGGCUGGAGCUCAGUCUUACCAGGAGUGGUGACCAGAUUAGAUGAAAGGAAGUCUAGGAUCAGGAGAAAAAGGUGACAAUGUUUCAAGGAUGUGGGUACUGUCACUGAUGUCAAAUAGUGCCAAAAGCUCUAAAUAAAAGGAACUCUGGAAUGGAGAAGUGACUGUUGACUCCUGAUUUCCCUUUGGCAGAUGACCAGAUAGAAUCAGCAUUAACAACGUGCAGAAAAUGCCAAAUGCAGGGAAAAUGACAAAUGUGCCAGAUGAUUUAAUAUCGAGUAAAGAUAAAGGUUAACAGAGAUGAUCUUGUCUUCUUCAUUUGCAAAAUAAGUUAAAAGUGCUUUUUGCCUUUGCAAAAUACAAAGUAUGAGGGAUUGCACAUGGCUAUCUCUCAGGUACAUUCCACUUGAAAACCAAGAUAGUGGUUUUUAGGUAUGUUCUAUAAAAAUAUUAUACACUACUGGUUACACAGCUAUUUGACCAGCAUAUGUUUAAUAGUAAAAGGGAAUAGUCAAGCUCAGAAUUUGUGGGAAAACCAGAUAAUGAUAAUAAAUUUUUUCAAAUAGGUUGAAGAAUAAUAAUUUUACCUGAGAAUGUGUCUGGUAUAAGUUCAUAAUGAGGAGCCAGAGAAAAAAGUCAUCCAUUCUAUGUGUACCUUUUGCCAUUAAUAUCAGUCUUUCUUAUUCUUAGCUUUUUACUGAGGGAGUCUGAUGGCAGAGAAUGGUGGAUUAAUAUGAACCCAGCACCAUACUCUCUGGCAGGAAUGGACUGAGCAAUGCUUCUGUGCUCAAUUUUUCCCCUCUUCUGUCUAAUCAUGUUACCUUUAGGAUAUUUUUAUAGUUUUAAAAAUGAUAAAUACCCAAUGCAGAGAAACAUGAAGAAAAGAUUUAAAAGUCAGCAUGAUUAAAAUCAGAUAUAGUCAUCACAUCUCUGAAAAUUUAUUUACUCAGGCUGCACCUUACUCCUUUCAUCCACAUUUGAACAGAACAUUAUGGCAUACUAAUAUGGCCAUUCAAAUAUAACCCCUACUAAGAUCUUGGAUACUUUUUUCAAAAAGUUAUACCAAGUAUUCUGCUUCUACUUUUCUUGGCAGGACCAAUUUUCUAUUUCAGUAAGUACUCUUCUACAACAUCCAUUAAAUGACUAUAUACUAUUCCAUUGUAUGGAUAUAGUAUAACUUACUUAAACCAUUCCUGAUAAUUGGAGUUCUAAAUUGUCUUAUUGUGCUAUUAUUAAUAAUGCUGGUACAUUAAGUUUUAUUCUUUGGCAUUUGUAGUUUAUUUCAAACAAGGAUAUCAACUAAUGAAAGAAUGAUUAAGAAAGAAGCAUAUAUCCUAUUUUUAUGAAUAAAUACAUGAAUUAGAAGAAAGGGUUAUAAAAGUUAUGAAAAAUGUCCUUUGUCAGCUUGCAACAACUUGGUACAAUAUUGAAUUAAUCAUUACAUUAGUUCUUCCACACUAAAAGAAACUGGUAUAUUUUUUGAGUCUGUGUUUUGAUUCUAGCAUGUAAUCAUAAUGUUAGACAAAUCAGAACGUUUCGUUUUGUGAAAUCUCAUUGAUAUCUGUAAAGUAUAUUACAGAAUCUUCUUAGUAGCUCACUAAAUACCAGAAGUAUUGAAGUUGAGCUUUGAAAUAACGUGAAAUAGGCAGAAAGUUAUAUAUCCAUAUGAUCUACUAAUAAAAAAGGGAACUAUUAGAAACCAUAUUUUAUACCUUUGUAUCAAAUCUCAUAUUUAAAUAUGAUAUUACAAUACUUAUUUUAAAAGUAUGAGUUAUCGGGAAGCAUGUGGAAAAUCUAACAGGAAAAGGAAUAGAGAUGGCUCAACUACAAUACCUGUUAAUGGAGCAAGAUAUGAGGAUGUGAUAGGCUUCUGUUCAAAUAUGGGUGGAGGGAGUAAGGGGCAGCCUGAAUAAAUAAAUUUUCUAAGAUAUGAUGCAAACACUGGUAAACUGAUUUUAAUCAUGGAAAAACUUAAUUUGCUAAUUAGUUUCUUUCUAAUGAGUUUAUUGUAUGUAAAACUAUGUACUGUGCUAUUUUUUUCUACCCCAGAAAAACAAGGCCUCUCAAAUUAAUAUACACAUCCAAACCAAGGAGAUGUUUUGUUGCGAUGUGUUAGGAAAGGAAAUAUUAUUCCAUUCCCUUGGAAUUAAUUUUGGACUCACAGCUGUACUAAAUUCCAUUUUGCUUUCUCCAAACUUAAAACAAAUUCCAUGAAUAUUAGGACUCAGAACACAAAGUCUUUUGAAAACGCGUAUAAAGCAGCUGUUUACACAUCUCUUUUCUGUUUCAUUGCUAAGCUGCUCAUGAGUAUUUACAGAUUCAGGAGUGCAGAGAAUUCUCCAGAGCCACAUCCAGCACACUGUGUGGCACAAUAUUAAAGAGGAGUAUGUAUUGUUCUCAAGAUGAGAUUCUUUAAGGCUGAUGCAUAUUUUAAUGAUCUGAUAAUAAAUACUAAAAUGAA